UUGCCUACCGUAGAAGUAAGAUAUCACAAUUUAAGUAUAGAAGCAGCGGAUGAAGUGGUUCAUUUGAACCACCUGCCUACUCUAUGGAACACUUCCCUCAAAAGAGUUUUCUCUGCAAGUUCCAUUCCUUUCCUGCAACUCAACUAUUUUGUAUCUUAAAAUUUGGACCAAAAGCUGCUCUCUCUCUCUCUUUAUUAUUAUUAGUAUUAUUUUAAAAUUUUAUUUAUUUAUUGUUAUUACUACAAAAUCUGUCACCUAAACAUUUUCUUGGCUGUGGGAAGAUAACUCAUUACGGAUCGCUUUCCAUAAUUAUUAACAGAAUAAAGAUACCAACAUAUUAGGUGUUAUCAACAAUGAAAACUGUAAUAUAGAAAGAAUAUCAAACCUCUCUCUGAGUUAUCAGCUGUCUAGCAUUAUACUGGGCAACCACAGCCUUCAAAGUAUCAUGAAUAAUGGGUGGCAAGACUCUUUCAUUAUAGUUCUCCCCAAGAGUUCGAUAGAUUGUAGGUAAUUGGCAUGCCACAGGACGAGUAAGAACUCGAAGACCAAUUUUGACCUGCAAAACAAAGAAGAAGCCACAUUUACACCCUGUUUGUGAGUUUUUAAAACUAAGGAAAGGGUUGGAAAGCUAAGGAAAAUGGGGCUCAAUUUUCCUUGGAUUCUUUCCUGACCAAAAUGGUAGGAAAGCUAAGGAAAGGAAAUUGGGUUUAAUAAAUUUAUUCUAAUUCCGUAAUUGCCCUUACUUAGCAACUCACAAGCAUUAGCAUGUUAUAUCUAAUAUGCAAGGGUACAAUGGUAAUAAUAUAUCACAAAAUAAAUUUCCAAUUAUUAUAUUUUCCAUACUAAACUCACAAACAUAACUAAGAAAAGUUACUUUCCUAUCAUUUCUUGAGUUAAAAAUUCCUAGUCUGGAAAUCCUAGUCUAGAAAACUCACAAAAUAAUGGUACUAACAGCUAAAAACUAUUUCGGUACAAUUAAAAUCAUAAGAUCCACAUGCAGAAACCGUAAGACUGACAAAAAUACAGUUCACCUACUGUAUAUGUCUAUCUAAAUUAUAUACAGAAGAAAAAAGAAUCCAUUUAAACAAUAAGCACAUCUAAAGUAUCUUGUGUUAUAAGUUAAAUUCAGCAAUAAAAAAUGUAUCACCAGAGUAGUGCAGACUAAAAAAGAUAUGGACCAAAGAAAGGAAUAAAAAAACAAUAGAAGUAUAAAACCAACUUCUUGAAAGUGGAGCACUAAUAGUUAAAUUAAGAGGUUAUUGUAUUGUUUGUAGGAGCACUAAUAUAUUAAAAAUAUUAAUUCCGUCUGUUUCAAAUUAAAAGAGCUAUAUAGGUUUGUAGGCUGUUUUCUGUUUGUAUCUUAAAAUUUGGAGCAAAAGCUGAAUCUCUCUCUCUCUUUUUUAUUAUUAUUAUUUUAAAAUUGUAUUUGUUGUUAUUACUACAAAAUCUGUCACCUAAACAUUUUCUUGGCUGUGGGAAGAUAACUCAUUAUGGAUUGCAUUACAGAAUGGAUAAAAACUGAAAUGUCAAACAUUAAUUGUUGAACAGGGUAUCACUAGUAUUAGUGGGAUAAGAUCUCAUCCAACCAAGAUCAAAAUUCUUGAUGAUUUUUGUGGAAUCAUCAAGCCUUCAAGG
rnacentral:lncRNA from 1 species